AUUGAACGCUGGCGGCAUGCUUUACGCAUGCAAGUCGAACGGUAACAGGCCGCAAGGUGCUGACGAGUGGCGAACGGGUGAGUAAUGCAUCGGAACGUGCCCAGUCGUGGGGGAUAACGCAGCGAAAGCUGCGCUAAUACCGCAUACGAUCUAUGGAUGAAAGCGGGGGACCGUAAGGCCUCGCGCGAUUGGAGCGGCCGAUGUCAGAUUAGGUAGUUGGUGGGGUAAAGGCGCACCAAGCCAAUGAUCUGUAGCUGGUCUGAGAGGACGACCAGCCACACUGGGACUGAGACAAGGCCCAGACUCCUACGGGAGGCAGCAGUGGGGAAUUUUGGACAAUGGGCGCAAGCCUGAUCCAGCAAUGCCGCGUGCAGGAAGAAGGCCUUCGGGUUGUAACUGCUUUUGUACGGAACGAAACGGUCCUGGUUAAUACCCGGGGCUAAUGACGGUACCGUAAGAAUAAUCACCGGCUAACUACGUGCCAGCCGCCGCAGUAACAC
rnacentral:rRNA from 1 species